GGAAAGAAUUUAGCGUACAGAAUGUAGGGAACAGUAUUUUGUCCCAUGUACGCAGGAUUGUGUCUGUUCUGUAGUAGGUUUUGUUUCUUUUCACAGGAGCUGCCGUUACAAAGGCCUGACGGGGCGAGUCACCUGUGACAUCAAGAUCAAGCGGAGAAAGCUCCAAAAGGGGCAGCUGUGACCUGAAGGGCCUUGGCAGUGUUUCUCGCGGAGGAGGAGCCCCGCGGCGCCCAGGCACACGACUUUGUGUCCCGGCGGCCACCACUGGUGCUGGUGUUGAGUGAGGCCGUGGGACAGGUGCUGUGCUCAGCGCCUCCUCCGUACUCGCUGCCGCUGACUUCAGGACUCCUUGGUGCAUCCUACGCCUUGCCUGCUGGAUUGGUCCCUGAGUGUGGCUCUGUAGGAGCCUUGCCACCGCCUGCUCCAGCAUCUCUGAGGUUCCUGCAAGACCAGCCGACUCCUCCCACCUGGAGUAGUGUUGCAGUGGAGGCUGCAAGGCGGGGCAGCAGCUGGAGUGGCUGGGAGCAGCAGGAGCAGACUGCUACUGGUGUGAGGUUCAGGAGUGAUGAGAAACACCACCACCACCAACAACAACAGCCGCUACUGCUGGCAUCUCAUCCACAAAGGGGGAAGUUUGAAUUUCAGAAGUGUGAGAAGAUCUGAGAGUGAGAGCAAGUUUACUAGCCACAGCCAAGUGUGUGGGAAAAGACAUGCAGGGAAGGAUGACCUCAACAAAUACACCCACACACUCUGGUGUAAGACCUCAUGAAAGCCGGGAGAUCAGCAUCCAUUGGUGUGGGUUCUGCUCCGAGGACUUCCUGGGCCCGAGGGAGUGCAAGGAACAUAUAAGUAAGGUGAGGCUCUUCUCUCGCUCCAUUCCUCUCCUCCCAUCUCUUCUCACUUUCCUUCUUGCUCCUUUUAUCAGUUCCUCCCUUCCCACCUUUUCCUCUAAUAUCCACUUCCAUCCACUGUUCCCAUUUAUCUCUGUUCUCUUAUGUCCCUCCAUGCCUCUGCCUUUCCUUCCAUCUUCAUUCCUGUCUCCGUUUAUCACCUCCUCCCUUCCCUCAGUCUUGUGUCACUAUUUCCCAUUCAUCUUAGUUAGGUCACCUCUUUCCUUUCAUCCUUCCACACUACAAAAAAGGGAAAUUUAUCGCUGACAUUUAGGCUUCAUUCAAUUUUAUAUGAAGUAAUUUCCUCCAGUGGGCAGUGUUUUUGUUUAGCCUUAUUUAUGUCGCCUU